rnacentral:lncRNA from 1 species
GAUCUUGCGGGGGCAGGCUCAGGUCCUGGUGGGGCUUCCUUCCUGGCUCACAGAGGGCUGCCUUCUCGCCAUGUCCUCACAGGGUGGAGAGAAAGAGAUCUGGGGUCUCUUCCUCUUCUUGAAAAGGGCCUAAUCCCAUCACAGGGCCCACCCGCAAGACCUCAUCUGACCCAAUCCCCUCCCCAAGCCGCCCCCUCCAAACACCGCCCCACGAGGGGUCAGGGCUUCAACCCGCAGAUUUGGGGCGAGGACAGAACCCACUCCACGCAACUCAGUCUCCUGGUCCUUGUAAAUGGCAUCAUUCCGUUGCUCAAACCAAAACGGAAGCUUGACUUCCUCCUGCACAUUCGCUGUCUUUUCCUGCUGUGCCGGGUCCCUCCAGGGCACGUAGUCCCAUCUGUCCCGUUACCCCAUGAUGGCGGCCCCCCACCCAGAUGCCGCCACCAUCACUGGCCUGGAGCACGUCCCCGUCUAAGCCCUGCCCUCUCUUUCCUUUCUCCAGCUCACUCUCCAAGGAGCCUCCCCAACUGCGCGGCCUCAGCUCCAGGCCACGGCCUCUGGACAACUCCCCCUCCCCCACCGUCUCCCCCAAGAGACGCAGGCUCUGAUCUCCCCCACGCCCACCUCCCCACUCAGCUCAGGCACACCAAGCUUCUCUGUCCCUUGACCCCACAGGUCUCAUUGGCUUCUUUCCUUGAGGGGCUCGUUCUUUCUCGGAAGCCUCGAGAUGCGUGUCACCUCCCCAGAGAGACGAUCCCCGAGGGUUCCGAGUACAGGGACCUCUCUCGCCCUCGGUUUGCCUCCUCUAGACGCAUCUCACGUGAUUCGACCCUUCAUUCCUUUUUUAUUCACCGUUUAUCCCUCCUCUUGCGACAGUGGUUCCAUGGGGGCAGCAGGCGUCUCCACUGGGAGACUCUCCACGCCGCUGGGACCUGCCUCACAAGUAAGCAGAUGUGCUCGAUGGGGAGAGAGGAUGGCUGUUCUCACUUGCCUCCCGUCCCUAGAGCAGAAUCUCCUCCCCGCACGAUGGCUUCUGCCCUCUUCUCCCCCCAUGAGAACUGCCCAUCCCCCAAGGCUGAUCCCUAG